UACGGGGGGAGCAAGCGUUGUUCGGAUUUACUGGGCGUAAAGGGCGCGUAGGCGGCCACCGCAAGUCGACUGUGAAAUCUCCGGGCUUAACCCGGAAAGGUCAGCCGAUACUGCGGGGCUAGAGUGCAGAAGGGGCAACUGGAAUUCUCGGUGUAGCGGUGAAAUGCGUAGAUAUCGAGAGGAACACCUGCGGCGAAGGCGGGUUGCUGGCUGACACUGACGCUGAGGCGCGAAAGCUAGGGGAGCGAACGGG
rnacentral:rRNA from 1 species